rnacentral:lncRNA from 1 species
GAGGAACAAUGCUGGGAAAAUGCUCCAGGGCUUUCUUCAGCUCAAAAGCACCUACUCAAGGUCCUCGUGAAGUCUUAGAAAUCAAAACACAUUUCAUCUCUUCCAGGAAGACAUUCCUUAAGAGAGCUGACAAGACAAUGUUCAAAAGUCAUCCCCUGUCCUAUCACUUACAAGAAAAAUUUUGCUGACGUAGGAUAAUGCAUCAAGAUUGUCUCAGAAUACUGCAAAUCGGCUAUAUAUUCCUAAUUCCACCUGGCAUUUCCUCGCCCACACAAUCAUAGGAAAAGCAGAGAACAGGGAUCCAGCCCAGCAAAGAAGAAUUAAAUUGCACGUGGAUCCAUGAGGCUAAAGAGGGUAAAAAUGAUCCAGACGGCACCAGCCAUGUGAUACCAUUUCUAAAAACAGCAGUAUGUUCUCGCAGUGAUUGACUGAUUACUUAAACUGCAGUGUCUGAGUCUUCCAGCAGAUACAUGAAGCUUACUGGGGCUGAUUUCUGUGCAAAGCCCUCUUCAGCACCCAUGGAAAUGAGAGGCAGACAGAGACUCCUAGGUGUUGCCAUCACAAGAAAGGUGCCACUUCCCCAGGAUUUCAGAUCUCUCAACCAAAAUGAAGAGGAAAUUGUGGCAGAGAUGAAGUAUUGUGAAAGAUUGUGAGGACAACAUUUCUUGAUUACCUCUCAGUCCAACAAUGCACACACUAGACCUUGAGAUGGAUUAAAUGAUACCCCUUUCACAGAAUUGGAGAGAAUGUGCUUUUCUUGUGAGCCCUUAUACUGCUCUUGUAUAGAUUCUGAGACAAGUGGCUCUGGUUGCUUCUGUUCCCAGAGGUGGCCUCUUCUGUACCACGUGACCACCUCAGAUGACUGGAUGGAAGGUAGGUGUCCUGGCAUGAAGACUAAAUGGCAUUGCAGAUGACUAAUUGGAAGAACUGGACCAUAGUAUUUUCCCUCUUGGGGAAUCAGCAAGUGAGUCAUGGAGGCAGUGUGGGCAGUAGCUGGUAUGAAAGCUGCAGGCAAAUAUUAGGGAGUAGCAGAGGCAAGAGACAGCUGCACUAAGCAGGGGAGUCCCAAGGAGAUUCCCUGAUGUCUCCUGCCGAGAUGAUAAAGAAGGGACAGUCACCAGGGCUGCCUCAGAUCUUGAGUGAGCUUUCAGAUACCAGCUCUUCUCAUCACAGGGAGGCCAAGCUCUCCUGCAAUUCCUAUUUGAGUUGGUCAUCUUUCACUUUCUUCUGUCAGAUUUCUUUCUCCCUUCUUUUAGUUAUAGCAUCUCUAAUAUUCUUCCAGGGAAACAAUACUUCCCCACGUUCAGUCCAUUUGGGUUGGGUAGAGUGGACCCCAACUUUCAUUUCCAAGGGUCAGUAUGUGACCCAGGCCUGGAUAAUCAGAA